rnacentral:rRNA from 1 species
GUAUUCCGCUCCAUAGCGUAUAUUAAAGUUGUUGCAGUUAAAAAGCUCGUAGUUGAAUUUCGGAAUCUGUCCAUCGGUCGAGCUUCACUGUUCGUACUGGUGUGGUGGGUUCUUACCUUCUGAAUAACCAGCAUGCCAUUCACUUGGUGCGUUGGGGAAGCAGGACUAUUACCUUGAAAAAAUUAGAGUGCUCAAAGCAGGCCAGCGCCUGAAUACAUUAGCAUGGAAUAAUAAAAUAGGACGGCUUGGUUCUAUUUUGUUGGUUUCUAGGAUCACCGUAAUGAUUAAUAGGGAUAGUUGGGGGCAUUAGUAUUCAAUUGUCAGAGGUGAAAUUCUUGGAUUUAUUGAAGACUAACUUCUGCGAAAGCAUUUGCCAAGGAUGUCUUCAUUAAUCAAGAACGAAAGUUAGGGGAUCGAAGACGAUCAGAUACCGUCGUAGUCUUAACCAUAAACUAUGCCGACUAGGGAUCGGACGAUGUUAAUUUUUUAAUGACUCGUUCGGCACCUUACGGGAAAC